GGGGCAUUAGCUCAGCUGGCUAGAGCGUUUGCAUGGCAUGCAAGAGGUCAUCGGUUCAAAUCCGAUAUGCUCCA
rnacentral:tRNA from 1 species